rnacentral:rRNA from 1 species
UCCGUAGGCGGGCUAAUAAGUCAGGGGUGAAAUCCCACAGCUUAACUGUGGAACUGCCUUUGAUACUGUUAGUCUUGAGUUAUAUGGAAGUAGAUAGAAUGUGUAGUGUAGCGGUGAAAUGCAUAGAUAUUACACAGAAUACCGAUUGCGAAGGCAGUCUACUACGUAUAUACUGACGCUAAUGGACGAAAGCGUGUGGAGCGAACAGGAUUAGAUACCCUGGUAGUCC